ACCCCACUGCUAUCGGGAUGGGACUAAGACAUGCUAGUCGAGUGACUCAGCCAAUACGAGUCACGGCACACAGCUCAGUAACACGUGGCUAACCUGCCCUUAGGACGAGAACAACCCCGGGAAACUGGGGCUAACUCUCGAUAGGCGAAGAACUCUGGAAUGAGUCUUCACCCAAAUAGUCCAGCGUUAUGCUCGUUGGAUCGCCUAAGGAUGGGGCCGCGACCGAUCAGGUUGUUGGUGAGGUAAUGGCUCACCAAGCCUUUUACCGGUGCGGGCCGUGGGAGCGGGAGCCCGGAGAUGGGCACUGAGACAAGGGCCCAGGCCCUACGGGGCGCAGCAGUCGCGAAAACUUUGCAAUAAGCGAAAGCUUGACAGGGCUAUCCCGAGUGCCAUCCGCUGAGGAAGGCUUUUACCCAGUCUAGAACGCUGGGGGAAUAAGGAGAGGGCAAGUCUGGUGUCAGCCGCCGCGGUAAUACCAGCUCUCCGAGUGGUGUGGAUGUUUAUUGGGCCUAAAGCAUCCGUAGCUGGCUAGGUUAGUCCCCCGUUAAAUCCACCGAAUUAAUCGUUGGAUUGCGGGGGAUACUACUUGGCUAGGGGACGAGAGAGGCAGACGGUAUUUCCGGGGUAGGGGUGAAAUCCUAUAAUCCCGGGAAGACCACCAGUGGCGAAGGCUGUCUGCUAGAACGCGCCCGACGGUGAGGGAUGAAAGCUGGGGGAGCGAACCGGAUUAGAUACCCGGGUAGUCCCAGCUGUAAACGAUGCAGACUAGGUGUUUGGACGGCCACGUGCCGUUCUAGUGCCGCAGGGAAGCUGUUAAGUCUGCCGCCUGGGGAGUACGAUCGCAAGAUUGAAACUUAAAGGAAU
rnacentral:rRNA from 1 species